UAACUACUUUCUUCGUCUGAAAAGGUUUGUCUCUUAAAUGGACGUAUCUAGCAUUAAUCUGAUGCUAGAUACAUUCAUCUGAGAGAUAAAUUUAAGACAAAUUUUUUCAGAUGGAGUGAGUACAUC
rfam:Triticum urartu cultivar G1812 contig1158849, whole genome shotgun sequence.